GUGCUUACUUUAGCAGCACAUAUACUAAAACUGAAAAAACACAGAGAAGAUUAGCAUGGUCCCUGUGCAAGAGUGACAUGCAAAUUUGUGAAACACUCCUUAUUUUU